GUCCCUGUUGUGUCCUGCAGCUGCAGCCUGAGAACCAGUGGACUCAGUAUACAGGGUUCUACUGCAUGGAUUGGAGAGAUGAGCCAAAUGUCAGAGCUAAUAUGCACAGAUGUGGCUUUUCUACGACUGCUUACGCCCACAUCGCAUCGACAAAGUGGCAGAAACCAUGGAAUGAAUCUCCACUACCUUUGCUGCUUGGAUCGCACCACCGGCAAGUAGAAGAGCUGAAGAGGACAUGGACAGAGUUGACCCGUCAAUAUUACUUACAACCUUACAGAAGCAUUCGUGCUAACUGUACAUUAAUAUAAAUAUUUGAUAGGAAAUUGAGUUAGCAAUGACACCCCUAGUGUUAAGGUUGAUGAGAUCAUUCUCAUUUUCCAUUCAAUAACUCAUCCCACUGUCUCUUUCCUGCACCUGGCUGGUGGGGCCUUUCCAAACACAGGUGAUAGGCAGGUGAAGUAGGAGGACGCAAUCUUCUCCACCUUCUGCCUGGUGCAAGUUUGUUUUGUAUUGUUUAUAUCUAAUAACAAGCUUUACACAUUUUUGAUAGAUUUUUUUUUACUUUUCCCACAUUUUGUGCCCAACAGGCAGACAGUGAUUGAUGUACAUCGGUUGAGUUGUUAUUGUUAUUAAUGUGUUUCCAUAUGUGGUAAUUUCAUUGUGUUGAUUCCCCUUUUUAUUUGCUGUAUUCUACUCUUUUUGUACUAUGUUUUAAAUUUUACUUCAUUUUCUUUUGGUUCGUAAGUAUUUUGUUGUUGUUUUAUCCAGCCCUUUCCAUGUUCUGUCAGUGUUUAUUUUAUUUCUUCACAGAUUUUAAGCUUGAGCUGGUUUUAUUUUUCACAGCAGGAUUCCUCUGCUACUGUCACCCUGCUUCCAUGCCCAGAUUCCUUUACUGUUAAACUUCAGUUUCGAGUGUUGUUUCAAAAGUUAAUUUGGAGCAUUUAUUUUAUAGAGUCACCUACAAUUAAUACCAAUGGGCAGGCUUGUGAAGUAAUGAGUGCCUUCUCACAGGAGAUGCAGAGAUACGGUUCGACAAGUAGGUGCAACAUGAGGUAGUCAUUACAUUUAACCCUUUUUAUCACUGACAUAUACACAUCAUUUGAGUUUGCACAGAUAAAAGGCAGCAAAUUUUCCCUUAAUCCUACUUUCUCUGUAGUAGCACACAGUUUUCUCAUGUUGCCUCCUAAUAAUACCUUUACCCAUAAAGACCAGCUGUCUAAGAGGCAGGUAACCAUUGCGCAA